rnacentral:rRNA from 1 species
UACGGAGGGUGCAAGCAUUAAUCGGAUUUAUUGGGCGUAAAGGGCGCGUAGGCGGGAAGGAAAGUCAGAUGUGAAAUCCUAAGGCUCAACCUUAGAACUGCAUUUGAAACUCCCUUUCUUGAGGGUAGAAGGAGAAAGUGGAAUUCCACAAGUAGCGGUGAAAUGCGUAGAUAUGUGGAAGAACACCAGUGGCGAAGGCGACUUUCUAUUUUACUCCUGACGCUGAGGCGCGAAAGCUAGGGGAGCAAACAGG